UACGGAGGGUGCAAGCGUUAUCCGGAUUCAUUGGGUUUAAAGGGUGCGCAGGCGGGAUAUUAAGUCAGUGGUGAAAUCCUACAGCUCAACUGUAGAACUGCCAUUGAUACUGAUAUUCUUGAGUCUGGUUGAAGUUGGCGGAACGUGACAUGUAGCGGUGAAAUGCAUAGAUAUGUCACAGAACACCGAUCGCGAAGGCAGCUAACUAAACCAGUACUGACGCUCAGGCACGAAAGCGUGGGGAGCAAACAGG
rnacentral:misc_RNA from 1 species